CUUGGUCAUUUAGAGGAAGUAAAAGUCAUAACAAGGUUUCUGUAGGUGAACCUCAGAAGGAUCAUUAGUGAAUAAUAAGGGGAUCCCACUUUGGGGGCCCCAACCCUCUUCACCAUAUCCACACACCUGUGCACCGCUAGUGACGAUCGAUUUGCUGUAUUACUCGCGUGUGGCUACCCCCCCUAAGAUGACGGACUGCUGCAGGUUGCAACUAGUUUGCGGCCGAGCGUUCACGAGACCUUAGAGACAGUCACCGCAUGCACUCUCGUUCGUUGCUAGCAACCUUUUUACACAUACACACUUGUAACUGAAUGUCAUUGUACCUACGCAAGUAGAAACAUAAUACAACUUUUGACAACGGAUCUCUUGGUUCUCCCAUCGAUGAAGAACGCAGCGAAAUGCGAUAAGUAAUGUGAAUUGCAGAAUUCAGUGAAUCAUCGAAUCUUUGAACGCACCUUGCGCUCCUUGGUAUUCCGAGGAGCAUGCCUGUUUGAGUGUCAUGAAUUCUCAACCCUCAAUGCUUUAUUGCAUUGCUUGGGGUUGGUCCUUGGGUGUCUUGCCGUUUCGACGGCUCACCUCAAAUGUAUUAGCUGGACCGCACGACGAUGCGCAGGUUCUACUCAACGUGAUAAGUUUACUCGUUGAGGAUGCAAUGCCGCAAGGCGGAGCAGCCUGCCGACAGUCAUGUGCACAUGUCUGCUUCUAGCCCGGCGAAAGACCUUUACAACGUCUGACCCACACUUAAUGCUCUGGCCUCAAAUGAGGGAGGACUACCCGAUGAACUUAAGCAUAUUAAUAAG
rnacentral:rRNA from 1 species